AACGAACGCUGGCGGCGUGCUUAACACAUGCAAGUCGAACGGUAAGGCCCUUCGGGGUACACGAGUGGCGAACGGGUGAGUAACACGUGGGUGAUCUGCCCUGCACUUCGGGAUAAGCCUGGGAAACUGGGUCUAAUACCGGAUAGGACCACUGCCUGCAUGGGUGGUGGUGGAAAGCUUUUGCGGUGGGGGAUGGGCCCGCGGCCUAUCAGCUUGUUGGUGGGGUGAUGGCCAACCAAGGCGACGACGGGUAGCCGGCCUGAGAGGGUGACCGGCCACACUGGGACUGAGAUACGGCCCAGGCUCCUACGGGAGGCAGCAGUGGGGAAUAUUGCACAAUGGGCGCAAGCCUGAUGCAGCGACGCCGCGUGAGGGAUGACGGCCUUCGGGUUGUAAACCUCUUUCAGCACCGACGAAGCGCAAGUGACGGUAGGUGCAGAAGAAGGACCGGCCAACUACGUGCCAGCCGCCGCAGUAAGAC
rnacentral:rRNA from 1 species